GCCAGUGUGGCCUAGUGGUUUGAGCAUUAGACUAUGACUCUGGAAACCAGGGUUCAAUUUCCAGCUUGGCCA
rnacentral:tRNA from 1 species